rnacentral:rRNA from 1 species
CAGUAGCCGCGGUAAUACGUAGGGUGCGAGCGUUAAUCGGAAUUACUGGGCGUAAAGCGUGCGCAGGCGGUUGUGUAAGACAGGUGUGAAAUCCCCGGGCUUAACCUGGGGACUGCGCUUGUGACUGCACAGCUAGAGUAUGGCAGAGGGGGGUGGAAUUCCACGUGUAGCGGUGAAAUGCGUAGAGAUGUGGAGGAACACCGAUGGCGAAGGCAGCCCCCUGGGCCAAUACUGACGCUCAUGCACGAAAGCGUGGGGAGCAAACAGGAUUAGAUACCCCAGUAGUCCCUGUCUCUUAUAA